GGGCCUGUAGCUCAGUUGGUUAGAGCAUCCGACUCAUAAUCGGCAGGUCCCGUGUUCGAGUCACGGCAGGCCCACCA
rnacentral:tRNA from 1 species